GCACGCGAAAUCCCUCCCCCGUCCCACGCCCUCGCGAUCCCCUUCCCCGAUGAAUCCGCUCGACCUCGCCUCGACCUCGACACCACCUCCCUUGAACCCUCGCAAUCGCUGUCGCAUCCUCCUCCUAGCAGGCGGCCUCCCGACGCCGCCCUCGCAAUCGCCUCGCGCGAACCGACGCCUCCUCCCCGGCGAGGCAAUCUGAUCCGAUCCUGCCCUGUCGGUCCUCGCCUCCCAUCGCUCGCCCCGGAGCGCCUCCAUCAGACGAAGUGCAAGCCGCUCCUGUCGGAGCCUGUCGCCGGGCGCCAACCAAAAUCCAGCCGGAGCUUCGUCCCCGUGCCUGGUGAGGACACAAACGAGAUCCCCUGGCUCUCCUCUUCCUGUCCCCCUCCUCACCCAGGCUCCUACAUAGCAAGACCGCCGUGGAUACAAAUACAGAUCUCCCAUCCACCAUGAACACAAAACAUCAAGCUAUUUUGUAUUGUAGAUUAAAGCCUUGUCUAACCUCGAAGCCAAUAUAUAUGAUGGUGAACUUUUGCUUCACGGUUCCUAGAACUAAUCCAGGCGAAGUGAAGGCUGGGGCAGUCGUACUUGCAGUCGCACUCACUCUCCAGGUGUCUUAGCACAGAUUUCUCAUGUUUGGUGAGGAAGAAUAUGUGCCGUCACUGAUCUUAAACAAGGUAGGUACAUGGAGCCUGUGUUGUAGAGAGUUCUGAUGAUUGUGGAUAGGGGAACAUUUAGAUGGAGGAGCAGAUUCACAACAAGGAAAAUCUUUUAAAUGAUAUGAAGCUGAAUCAUGAUAGUUAUAACCUACAUAUUUCCACCUUAAAGCCAACUUUAAAUGUUAGAAGUAACAAAGCCAACAUUGUUGUCCAGACCUUUUCAUCUGUUCCCAUCCGAUGUUGGCCAGCUCCAUGAUAUAUAUUUUUCCUUGAUUGUUGCAUAUAGUGCAAAAGAUUAUGGUUGCUCAUCUCUUAAAAUUUGUACGAUUGUUGUAUAUAAUAAUUUGGUUUUUAGUCA